AUUGAACGCUGGCGGCAGGCCUAACACAUGCAAGUCGAACGAGUGGCGGACGGGUGAGUAAUGUCUGGGAAACUGCCUGAUGGAGGGGGAUAACUACUGGAAACGGUAGCUAAUACCGCAUACCAUCGGAUGUGCCCAGAUGGGAUUAGCUAGUAGGUGGGGUAAAGGCUCACCUAGGCGACGAUCCCUAGCUGGUCUGAGAGGAUGACCAGCCAAACGGGAAAUGAGACACGGUCCAGACUCCUACGGGAGGCAGCAGUGGGGAAUAUUGCACAAUGGGCGCAAGCCUGAGGCAGCCAUGCCGCGUGUAUGAAGAAGGCCUGCGGGUUGUAAAGUACUGUCAGCGGGGAGGCGUGACCCGCAGAAGAAGCACCGGCUAACUCCGUGCCAGCAGCCGCGGUAAUUC
rnacentral:rRNA from 1 species